UUGGGCACUCUAAGGUGACUGCCGGCUAAAAGUCGGAGGAAGGUGGGGAUGACGUCAAAUCAUCAUGCCCCUUAUGACCUGGGCUACACACGUGCUACAAUGGGCGGUACAAAGGGUCGCGAACCCGCGAGGGGGAGCCAAUCCCAAAAAGCCGCUCUCAGUUCGGAUUGCAGGCUGCAACUCGCCUGCAUGAAGCCGGAAUCGCUAGUAAUCGCGGAUCAGCAUGCCGCGGUGAAUACGUUCCCGGGCCUU
rnacentral:rRNA from 1 species